rnacentral:rRNA from 1 species
GACGAACGCUGGCGGCGUGCUUAACACAUGCAAGUCGAACGGAAAGGCCCUGCUUUUGUGGGGUGCUCGAGUGGCGAACGGGUGAGUAACACGUGAGUAACCUGCCCUUGACUUUGUGAUAACUUCAGGAAACUGGGGCUAAUACCUGAUAGGAGCUCCUGCUGCAUGGUGGGGGUUGGAAAGUUUCGGCGGUGGGGGAUGGACUCGCGGCUUAUCAGCUUGUUGGUGGGGUAGUGGCUUACCAAGGCUUUGACGGGUAGCCGGCCUGAGAGGGUGACCGGCCACACUGGGACUGAGAUACGGCCCAGACGCCGACGGGAGGCAGCAGGGGGGAAUAUUGCACAAUGGGCGGAAGCCUGAGGCAGAAAUGCCGCGUGCGGGAUGAAGGCUUUCGGGGUGGAAACCGCUUUAGCCUGUGACGAAGCGGGAGUGACGGUAACGGGUAAAGAAGCACCGGCUAACUACGUG